rnacentral:tRNA from 1 species
GCCCCUGUGGCGGAACUGGUAGACGCGCGGGAUUCAAAAUCCCGUUCCGGCAACGGAGUGUCAGUUCGAUUCUGACCGGGGGCACCA